rnacentral:lncRNA from 1 species
AAUUAAAAACCAAUUGUUCAGAGAACAAUUGAAGGUCUUUCCACCAGUUAAUAUCUAUUUUGAUAUUGAAAUAUUAAAAAUCAGUCUAAAAUGUCAGUUCAUAUGGCUUUAUGAUGUAUAGAUAUGAAUUUAAAGCAAAGGUCAAAAUCUAGAACGUCAUAUUGACCUAUGACCUUGACCUCAAUUUCAAGGUCACAAACUGAGGAGCUCAAAUCAAAAGACCCUAGGUCUCUAAUAUGUAUGGUUAAUAAGUUAUAUCACUUUACACAUAAUUUUAGAUAUGAUAGGGGCUAAAACUCCCAUUCAUUGUUUACGCACCCUUUCAACUAAAAUUAUUUAGUUACCACAUGUCGCAACUAACAAUUUGUACAAAAUAAUUUGUCGAUAUCUUAUAAG